UACGAGGGGGCGAGCGUUGUUCGGAAUUAUUGGGCGUAAAGGGCGCGUAGGCGGUGCGGUAAGUCACCUGUGAAACCUCUGGGCUUAACUCAGAGCCUGCAGGCGAAACUGCCGUGCUGGAGUGUGGGAGAGGUGCGUGGAAUUCCCGGUGUAGCGGAUGAAUGCGUAGAUAUCCGGAAGAACACCAAAGGCGAAGGCAGUGUCCUGGCUGGCACCUGACGCUGAGGGGCGAAAGCUAGGGGAGCGAACGGGG
rnacentral:rRNA from 1 species